rnacentral:misc_RNA from 1 species
AGCAGCAGAAACAUUUUUGUCACGGCAAACUGGAAGGCAAAGCUUACAUAUAUCAGAACCAACUCUGCUGCUGAAUCUCUAAUUAAAGGAAAUGAUAAUGUAGAUAUUGAUAAAGGAUGGGUUGCACCAGAGUACAUUCUCUAUGGCUCAGAUUCUGAUAAGGUAGACAUAUUUGCAUUUGGAGUAGUUUUACUAGAGCUAAUCUCAGG